GCCAGUAUGGUGUAGUGGUUUGAACAUCAGACUAUGAUUCUGAAGAUCAGAGUUUGAAUCCACACUGGGC